rnacentral:rRNA from 1 species
AUUGAACGCUGGCGGCAGGCCUAACACAUGCAAGUCGAACGAGUGGCGGACGGGUGAGUAAUGUCUGGGAAACUGCCCGAUGGAGGGGGAUAACUACUGGAAACGGUAGCUAAUACCGCAUACCAUCGGAUGUGCACAGAUGGGAUUUGCUAGUAGGUGGGGUAACGGCCCACCUCGGCGACGAUCCCUAGCUGGUCUGAGAGGAGGACCAGCCACCCUGGAACUGAGACAGGGUCCAGACUCCUACGGGAGGCAGCAGUGGGGAAUAUUGGACAAUGGGAGCAAGCCUGAUGCAGCCAUGCCGCGUGUAUGAAGAAGGCCUUCGGGUUGUAAAGUACUUUCAGCGAGGAGGCGUUACUCGCAGAAGAAGCACCGGCUAACUCCGUGCCAGCAGCCGCGGUAAUAC